AUUGAAUGCUGGCGGCAGGCCUAACACAUGCAAGUCGAACGAGUGGCGGACGGGUGAGUAAUGUCUGGGAAACGCCCUGAUGGAGGGGGAUAACCACUGGAAACGGUAGCUAAUACCGCAUACCAUCAGAUGUGCCCAGAUGGGAUUGGCUUGUUGGUGGGGUAACGGCUCACCAGGGCGACGAUCCCUAGCUGGUCUGAGAGGAUGACAAGCCACACUGGAACUGAGACACGGUCCAGAGUCCUACGUGAGGCAGCAGUGGGGAAUAUUGCACAAUGGGCGCAAGCCUGAUGCAGCCAUGCCGCGUGUAUGAAGAAGGCCUUCGGGUGGUAAAGUACUUUCAGCGGGUAGGCGUUACCCGCAGAAGAAGCACCGGCUAACUCCGUGCCAGCAGCCGCGGUAAUUC
rnacentral:rRNA from 1 species